AGAGUUUGAUCCUGGCUCAGGAUGAACGCUAGCGGGAGGCUUAACACAUGCAAGUCGAGGGGUAACAGGGGUAGCAAUACCUGCUGACGACCGGCGUACGGGUGAGUAACGCGUAUGCAACCUGCCCUAUACAGGAGGAUAGCCCGGAGAAAUUCGGAUUAAUACUCCAUGUGGCAUUUUUUUCGCAUGAAUUAGAUGUUAAAGAUUUAUCGGUAUAGGAUGGGCAUGCGUCCCAUUAGCUAGUUGGUGAGGUAACGGCUCACCAAGGCAUCGAUGGGUAUGGGGUCUUAAAGGAUGGUCCCACACACUGGCACUGAGACACGGGCCAGACUCCUACGGGAGGCAGCAGUGAGGAAUAUUGGUCAAUGGGUGAGAGCCUGAACCAGCCAUCCCGCGUGCAGGAUGACGGUCCUAGUGAUUGUAAACUGCUUUUCUAUGAGAUGAAUAAGAAUUACGUGUAGUUCGAUGACCGUAUUAUAGGAAUAAGCAUCGGCUAACUCCGUGCCAGCAGCCGCGGUAAUACGGAGGAUCCGAGCGUUAUCCGGAUUUAUUGGGUUUAAAGGGUGCGCAGGCGGGAGAUUAAGUCGGCGGUGAAAUUUUGCAGCUUAACUGUAAAAGUGCCAUCGAUACUGGUUUCCUUGAGUGUAGAUGAAGUAGGCGGAAUUUGUGGUGUAGCGGUGAAAUGCAUAGAUAUCACGAGGAACUCCGAUUGCGCAGGCAGCUUACUAAACUACUACUGACGCUCAGGCACGAAGGCGUGGGGAUCAAACAGGAUUAGAUACCCUGGUAGUCCACGCAGUAAACGAUGAUUACUCGCUGUUUGCGAUAUACAGUAAGCGGCUUAGCGAAAGCGUUAAGUAAUCCACCUGGGGAGUACGUUCGCAAGAAUGAAACUUAAAUGAAUUGACGG
rnacentral:rRNA from 1 species